rnacentral:tRNA from 1 species
CANGUGCCGGGGCUUCUCCCGUCUUGAAGCUAGACGGGAGAAG